rnacentral:rRNA from 1 species
CUUGGUCAUUUAGAGGAAGUAAAAGUCGUAACAAGGUUUCCGUAGGUGAACCUGCGGAAGGAUCAUUAGAAAUUUAAUUUAAAUUCAAUUCCCGGGAAUUCUUGGUUCCCGGGGGUAUUUGUAUUCAAAUUCCACUCUUUAAAAAAUUAAUACAUUUAAUAAAAUAAAAUGAGACAACUUUCAACAACGGAUCUCUUGGCUCUCGCAUCGAUGAAGAACGCAGCGAAAUGCGAUACGUAGUGUGAAUUGCAGUUUACGUGAAUCAUCGAAUCUUCGAGCGCAAAUUGCACUUUCCAGUAAUCUGGGGAGUAUGCCUGGUUGAGGGUCAUUGAAACAAGAUCGCGAAAUUUAUUUUUUAUAUAUUCCGCGGAUUUGAGUUUUCCGGAGAUCAUACAUAUGUAUGUGAUUACCGGUGACUUUAAAAUGAAUUCUGGUUCAAGUCAAAAACGUUCUAUGCAAUCGUGGUUCGUUGACAACUUGACCUUCAUUAUGUUCCCCACCUUCUCGGAGAUUGGUGCGCGGGACAUAUAAUUUUUUUUAUGACCUCAGCUCAGGCAAGGAAACCCGCUGAACUUAGGCAUAUCAAUAAGCGGGGGA